CACAAGAAUGUGGCGCUCCACGGUUGGUGAGCAUGCUCGGUUCGUCCGAGAAGCCUUAAAACCGUGACGACACAUUCACCUUGAACCAAGGGUUCAAGGGUUACAGCCUGCGGCGGCAUCUCGGAGAUUCC
rnacentral:sRNA from 1 species